GGCUACUUCCGGUCUGGAACGACCAAGUGCCCCCGGACCAGGGAGGAGGACACCCUGGCGCUAAAGGCCAGCACGCGCCGCCUGCAUCCACAAUUUACAGGCGCAAAAAUGUCUAAACGGCACAGCCUUGAAGGCUGACUUCCAUAAUUCAUAUCGAGAAAAGAGGAGAGAAGGCUUCGUUGGUCGCAGAACGUUGAUCUCUUUGAUAGAAAAAGUUGACGGAGAGAACCGGCUGCGCCAAAUGUUUUAAUACUGUGGCUUUUGACAUCGUCUUUUACGUCUUGGAUGACCACAGAUUUUGUCACCUCAGCUGUUUCUUUGAGCUUUCUCUGGCUGAGGAGUUAGUUGAACUCUUAAGAUUUUUUAUCCAGAAAAUGGUUUUCUUGUCAUCAAAAACCGAAAUCUUUGUAACCAACUGACGUUGCUGCACAUCCUCCACUGCCUGAAGUUUUCAGACGCCGAAGAGGCAGUUCAGAGGUCGCCUUCAAAGGCAUGUUUGCAAGAGGUUGCCUGAGGAGAAGAGCUAGGAAGAGCCGCCCUGCGAAAGGCCGCUUCCUAACUUUGAACUGGAAUUUUGACUUCUUUCAGCCAGCUCUUCGGCGGGCUGUGUUUGAAAGAAGUCAGUAUUGUAGGUCUCGUGAACUGUUUUGAGCCAGACAAAUCUCAAGACAAUGACUUACGAAACAAUCGGUCAUACUUCACCACCAUCAUAAAGGUCACAUGAACGAUGGUGGGCGUCCUUCAGAGGACGGCUUGAAGGCUAAACCUUAACUGAAGGAGAAAAGAGAUGAAGGAACCAAGAUUCGUAAUUUGUUCCUACCUCUGUGAAUUCCUGCUGCCUCCAUAUAAGCAAAAAGUCGAUGACUUUGACAAGAUGUGGAGCAGCAGCAGUCCUCUGGCGCCAGAGACCAGAGAGGCUGGUCAGACCUCGAGUGCUCGUUCCAAGUGUGGUCUCGAAGCACUUCGACGUUGGCCUUUGGGUCAAAAAGUGACAACAAAAUUUGAUUUCCAAUAGGAGCAGUAGAAUUCGACCUGUCAAUGGGGAAGGAGACUCUUGUGACGUUUUUGCUGAACAAGAAUUGAAAAAAGUGGGAUUUUCAGCCAACAAGUUAAUUGCAAGAAAACGUUUGCUGAGAUUGCUACUGCCAUCCCACUUUCCACUUCUGUGACAAAGCAGAAAACCGGAGGAAGAAACUCUUCUUGCCGCCAUCAAGAAGGAUUCCGAGCCUUGGUCAAAACCUGCAGCAGACCAGGGAGGUCUUCGCCAAAGCUCCAUUCGUACCUUCACAGCAAAUUUCGACCAGCGCCAAUUCUAAGCCGCUCCAAAGGGACUGACCCUGUGAGUGGCGGUCGCCCUCGUUCUCCCAAGGUGACCAGUGUGGCUAGAAGCCCUGCGACAACCUGUUGCGGGCUCCGAGUGUUCCAAAGGCGCUUCUUGCGUCAUCCGCUCUCCGACGCUUGGAACACAAAACUGGCUGCGUCCGCGGACUGCAACCGCGUGGCAUCGCUUAAAGACUGAGCCUCGAUCACUUUCCUGCCAACCAUGCUUGGCCUGGUUGCUGACAAUCCGUUCCUCCCCUAACCCUUUUCGCCUUUUCUCCACAACUCUCGUCUUCUAGAGUCACUUUUUUUAGAAUUUUUAUUGCCAAGUGUUUUGCCUUUGAAAAAAAAGGGAAUUUUACUGCGCGUUUGGUCAGCAUUUCGAACUUUUUGACGUCAUUAAUUGUAAACGAAACAUAUUUCCGUUAAAAUAACACACGAAGAGAGCCAGUUAAAUUCAAUUAAAAAAUUGAAAAGCUCACAUUGUCAUGGCUUUUGGCCUUGCGGUGUGUGCCACAAAAUUUAAUAUUGUUCGAACUGAAAAAUUCUUCUCGGAUGCACUUUUUUAAUGAAAGGUGCUAAUAAUUUUGAUAGAAGAAGAUCCAUUUUUUUUAAAUGAAAUGGAUUAUAAAUUCCUUGGAAAUGUGAUUUCCAGUUAAGAAAUCAGCCCUACUUUUUGCUUGAAAAACUCUUACUUUCGUGAGCCUUAAUUACUUUUGUAAUUGGGAGAUAGUUUUGUGCUUUUCGAUGUUUUCAAGUUUGCAAAGAAUCAGUCUCAGACCUGCAAACAUGAAUUUUGUUUAGAACUUCUUGUUCAGCUUGUGGUGUGAUUUCUCCAGAAUAUUCUUUGCACAGAAAGACUUCGCAGUUGAGGAACUUCACAUUUGUGGUCGGCGCCGAGAAAAAUAAAAUUAUCCACAAGGGUGAAUAUUGAGCCAAAUUCAAGUUGACGGGCGUCCAUGGACUUGCGGUGGUGGCGUUAAUCUUAUUUUUUUCCUAAAACCAGCCGCGGGUUUUUGGCCACCCCGCAGUCCGCCUGACGGGCAGGUCGGGCUUCUCGAUCGCGAGCAACCUUUUCCGAAUCGCAACUUGACAUUAAGCAAUUUUCGCUCUUUUUGGAUGAAAAGUAUUUAUUUUGUUUUUUUUUUAAUUCUCUCUUACGCCUUGCUUUGAUUGUGAAACGGGCGUCCAUGGACUGUGAGGCGGCGUCCGAAAUUUGACGGGCCGAAUUUUGAAAGCAGCCCUCGGGACAGGGCGUCGCGAUUUCCGCCCCCACAGUCCGCCUGAUGGGCAGGUCGGGCUUCUCGAUCGCGACAUUUUACCGCAAUAAAAUUCACAAAUGCACGUCAAAGGCCUUAAUUUGAAUGAAAAACUCUGGUCGUUCUUUUAUUUUGUGCUUUUGCCAUAUUUUUUCUUGCACUUUUUGGUAGGAAUCGAUGAAAGUUGGAAAUAAGAGUUUUAAUAAUUAAUUUAUUGGGCUGAUUAUUAUUUUCCAUUUCUGGUCUGACUUCCAAGCCAAUUUAGUCUCUAACAAUUGGUUUCCUAAGAUAAAAUAAUCUCAAGCUUAAAAAAUUAUAAUUUUAAUUCAUCGAUUGGUGACGGAAAAUUUUAAAUUUUUUCUUUUCAGAAUUCCUAUUGGAGAAAAAUGCAGUUUGGAAGACAAAAAUCCACUAGAGAUUUGUUCGAUUAUUAUUCUUUUCAGCUUCCUGUUUUCCUGAAUUAAUUCCUCCGCAGCAGAAUUCCUACAAAUGAUUGCAUUCCUCUUGCAAAUGUUUUUGAAUCACCUGAUCUCAUCAUCUUAGUUUUUUUCCAUUUUCUGCAGAGUUUUUUUUUUUACUGAAAAAACUCGAUCGAAUCUGGCGCGUUGUGUCUAAAAAUAAUUUCCAAACUUAUAAAAAUAAUUAUAAAUUAAAAGCUUCCAGAAAAUUUUAACUUAUUCGCGCGCGUCAAUUUUGUCCAUUUUUUGCCGCACAAACGGCCACUUUUGCACAGCGGCCGAGCGUCCACUGCGUUCGUCCACUUGCCGGACGACGCAGGCCAAAUGAAGGCAGAAAUUCUGGCUCUUUUUUUUGCACUCCUUCAUUCGGCAACCAAACAGGCCAAAAAAGGCCCAAAUUUUACUUUCCGGCUUUUCGACUUGUUAAUUUUUUCAGCGGCCAAAACAAACCAUCCAGAGAUGUUAAAAAAUAGAGUAAAUUUUCCAAAUUUACACAAAACAUACAAAAAAGAAACAAUUUUUAAAAGUGAAAAGCCAGCGUUGAAAUUUUCGGAUAUGGUGAUGCAAACGGCAGUAUUUUUGUUUCAACCCUUUUUUUCAGCUUUUUUUAACCGUAGCCUACUCUUCUUUUGCAAAGUAACGUAGUUUUAAAGCCACAGUCGCGUCUCUGUCUUUUCGUCUUGAUCUUUCUCUGACAUGCAAACUUUUCCUCCCCGGAGCGUCUUGCCUGGUGACCAGGUCGAGGAUGAGGUGACAGGUCAGGGAUACCGAAGGUGUGGCUGCGCGGUUGUGGUCCGUGCCCCGCUCCUGCACACCCUGACAAUGACAACCCCUUCCUGUGUGCAACCCUCUCGCCAACUGAGCUGGACACUGAGAAGAAACCCCACGUCAAAUAAUUCACCCUUUAAUAAAUAAAAACUUUAUUUUUGUUACUCCUU